AGUCCCGUGGCGCAGUGGUAGCGCGCCGUUCUUAUAUAAUUCGUCAGACUUAUAUGACCACCAUCUGGUAAUGCGGAUGUCACGGGUUCGAGCCCCGUCGGGACUA